rnacentral:lncRNA from 1 species
CAGCGGGCAGCAUCCAGAGGCCCCUCUCGAGACUUCUGCAGCAUUAAGGCUUAACGGACCUGAGCAGAACGUAGGGAAGUGAAUGUGCUGUGCGGUAUCAUCUUCUCUGUGGCCCCAUGUGCAGUAUCAAUGAAUCUGGACUAAUGUGUGGUGCAUUCUUCAGGCCAGAUGCAGGGAAAGAUUCACCCUGAGAUAACAUCUGUUGCCGAUCUUCCUAUUUUUGUUCUCCUCCACAAAGUCCCAGAACAUGGCUACAUAUCCUAGUAGUACACACCCCGAGUGCAAUGCUGGCUAUAGAGUCUCCAUAGGAUCUGAUGUCCGUAAGAGAAGAGAAACCACCACGACUUUCCAGAGCAUUCCUUUUCUGAAUGGUGUGCUACCACCCUCCCACUGAAGGUCACUUAGAUUGUCUCCAGCUUUCCACCGCUCCGAAUAAAGUGGCAGAGAGUAUCCAGGAGGACUUAUCAAUUUGUCUCAUGGUAUUAAAAUUACUUGACAGUUCCAUUAUCCGGCUAAACUCCUAUUGGACUGAAGCAAGCAACAGUUCUGAAUGCUUUUUGUCCUGAAGAACUUGGCUUGAGAUAAUUAUUGGCUGAGCUUGAAGUUGAGUAACUGGAACAUGAAAGUAGGGCUGCUCAGAAGAGGGCCAGCAAGCCCCGCCUGCUGCCUUAGACAAUGUGUGUCCUCAUCAGAGUCCUACUCAAGAAUUCAUGUCAUCAAAACUUCCACGAAGGAACGCAGCCCUGUGGACAGACACCUUGAUGUUAGCCCAGUGAGACCCAUGACAGACUGCUGACCUCCAGGACUAUGCUGCCAUAUCUGGCUGUGGGACCUAGGUCUGUGCAGCCGUCUUGCCACUUUGAGGAAGCUGGCCUGAAGAUAUGUCCACAUAAUGACGAUGGCAGAGCAGAAAUAAAGGCACGACAUGGAGAAGCUGUGUUGACCAAUCUUCAGGUUAUCCUGCCUCAAGCCUCUUUUUAUAAUUCCAGUGAGCUGACUUUCAGAGUUCUCGCGCUGGCAGUGUCCCCAGGGCUUGCAUUAGGUGCGUGCACUUUCUUCUGCUCCAGCUGCAAAGAUACUCCAAAGCAAGACUCCACCACAGUUGUGUGCUGCCGGCGGACAGCAGAUGACUCGCCAGGCUGCCCUCUGGGUCUCCAGCAUUCACAGACACAGAAGCACAUCUGUUUACCACCCUAUGCCCAGUGCCUGGCCCAUGGAUGGAAACACCAUGCUUACCUUCAUUUAUUCACCAUUACGGACAUAUCCCUCAGGAUACAGCCAGUUUCUCCUCUCUUCUCACAACUUCCUCAGAAAAAAGUUGGAAGUCCAUAAAAUUAGACUCUUGCAUUUCAUAGAGGUAUCUCGCUUUUGUAAACGGUGUAGUUCUCUGAAUUCCAGAAGGCCUGUAUUCACAGCUAUUUAUAGAAAAAGAGUUGCUUGCAAAAAUAAAAGCAGAAUGAUUUUUUUCAAAAACAUAAAUUUGGAAAUGUAACAACCAGUUGUCCAAGUAUCUAUUGAAAGGAGGUCUGUUAGUUCUCUAACAGUUUUAAUGCAGGUGGUAUCAUUUGAAGUUAAUAAAAUUGUUGGAGCUGGUAUACUUACUACUGGUUGGUAAUUUGUUCAUGAUCAUAAGCAAGUGAUGACCAAUCAAACUUUUGAAUUCUGAAAGCU